CCAUGGACGGGCCCCCAUGGCGGGGUGCCGCCCUUCGACCGGGUGAAGGUCGAGCAGUUCGAGCCGGCGUUCGAGGUC
rnacentral:tRNA from 1 species